rnacentral:rRNA from 1 species
GAUGAACGCUAGCGGCAGGCUUAAUACAUGCAAGUUGAGGGGCAGCAUGAUAUACGCGAGUAUAUUGAUGGCGACCGGCGGACGGGUGAGUAAUAGGUAGGAGACCUACCUCAUACAGGGGGAUAGCAUAGAGAAAUCUGUGGUAAUACCCCAUGAGGUUAUAUGAAUAGAGGCAUAUAAUCAAAGCAUAAGCGAUUAUGCGGUAUGAGAGGGGCCUACUGACCAUUAGCUAGUUGGUGAGGUAAGGGCUCACCAAGGCGAAGAUGGUUAGGGGUUUUGAGAGAGAGACCCCCCACAUUGGAACUGAGAGACGGUCCAGACUCCUACGGGAGGCAGCAGUAGGGAAUAUUGGGCAAUGGGCGAAAGCCUGACCCAGCCAUGCCGCGUGAAGGAAGACGGCCUUAUGGGUUGUAAACUUCUUUACUACGCGAAUAGAGGUUAGUACGAGAUACUAAUAGGAAGGUAGUGUAGUAAAAGCACCGGCUAACUCCGU